AUUCUACAUUCAGGACCUACAGUAGCAGAGGAGACUGGCCUGUAUCCAAAUGAUCCACAGCUCUAUGGAGCACUUGCCAUUUGACAUCUGCCUUUGUGCUUGAUUUACCAGCUUGAGUGAAAAUGCCAGAGAGACAGGUGAUACAUAUGGCCACCUUGGGAUACUUGUCAAUUUUUACUUGGAUGCAGUUUAAACACACAGCUCAAGAUUUCACCUCAGAGAUUACUACCAGCCUUGCAAAGAAAAACAGCUCUCUGCUGCCAUCUGCUGUGCCUACUGGAGUAGAUGCUGUUAAAUGGAUUUUCCUUUACCAGCCAUCAUUGUAUAUAUAGAGGCUUGCUAAACAGGAAAACAUAUAAAAGACCUUUAUCACUGGAGAGGGGAUGGUAGAAUAAGAUAUUUCAAAGGCAGGUGUAAAUAAAUAGGUUAAAAAAAGAUAAUGAAGUAUAUUUUAUACUGAAAUUAAAACAACAACAAAAACACCACCCGACACCAUUUGAUGCAAUCAAUUAGAAGCUUCGGACUAAAGUCAAAAUCUACUGUAGUCUUGAAUCAAAUGAAAAUUGAGCAUUAUCUCCAGGAGCUGUGCAAUUUUCUUCUUGUAUGACACUUCUAGCUGAAACAGAUUGAUAAAUAAGGAUGGCAUUAGAGAGAAAUUCUCCAUGGAUUCUGUAAACAAAGAUCAUUGAAAUAAAAUGACAUUUGUAAUGCCCAGGGAAUUGCUUUAAAUUUAUUGAACUUGGCAUGAGCCAUGGAUCUCUGGCCUUUCCUUUUAUCUCUUGAAGAGACAUUCCCCAAGGAACAAGGACAUCA